UCGAAGGUAGCAUAAUCAGUAGUUUUUUAAUUGAAAACUAGUAUGAAUGGUUUAACGAAAUAUUAGCUGUUUCAUAAAAAUUUAUAUAGAAGUUAAUUUUUUAGUAAAAAAGCUAAAAUAUUUUUAAAAGACGAGAAGACCCUAUAGAGUUUUAUAUAAUAAAUAUUAUAAUUUACUUAUAAUAUUUUAUAUUUUAUUGUUUAUUAUAUUUUAUUGGGGUGAUAGUAAAAUUUAAUUAUCUUUUAUUUUUUUUUAACAAAUAUUAAUGAAUAAAUGAUCCAUUAAUAAUGAUUAAAAGAUUAAAUUACCUUAGGGAUAACAGCGUAAUUUUUUUGGAGAGUUCUAAUCGAUAAAAAAUUUUGCGACCUCGAUGUUGGAUUAA
rnacentral:rRNA from 1 species